GAUGAACGCUGGCGGCGUGCCUAAUACAUGCAAGUCGAGCGAACGAACGAGAAGCUUGUUGCUCGGAGGUUAGCGGCGGACAGGGGAGGAAUACGUGGUUAACAUACCUAUAAGACUGGGAUGAUUUCGGGAAAAAGGAGUUAAUACCCGAGAAUAUUUUUGACCGCUUGGGUCAACAGUGUAGGACGGUUUUGAUUUCAUUGAUAGAUGGACUCGCGUUGUAUUAGCUUGUUGGUAAGGUAAUGGCUUACCAAGGCAACGAUGCAUAGGCGACCGGAGAGGGGGGUCGGCCACCAUACAACGGAGACACGGCCGAGACUCCUACGGGAGGCAGCAGUAGGGGAUCUUCCGCAAUGGGCGAAGGCCUGACGGAGCAACGCCGCGUGAGUUAUGAAGGUCUUCGGAUCGUAAAACUCUGUUAUUGGGGGAGAACAUAUGUGGAAGUAUCUGUGCACAUGUUGACGGUAACUAAACAGAAAGCCACGGCUAACUACGUG
rnacentral:rRNA from 1 species